UACAGAGGUCUCAAGCGUUGUUCGGAUUCAUUGGGCGUAAAGGGUGCGUAGGUGGCGGGGUAAGUCAGGCGUGAAAUCUCGGGGCUCAACCCCGAAACUGCACUUGAUACUGCCUUGCUCGAGUACUGGAGAGGAGAUUGGAAUUUACGGUGUAGCAGUGAAAUGCGUAGAUAUCAGGAGGAACACCGGUGGCGAAGGCGGGUCUCUGGGCAGUAACUGACGCUGAGGAGCGAAAGCGUGGGGAGCGAACAGG
rnacentral:rRNA from 1 species